CGGCCGACCGAGAUCCCAGAGAUCGGAGAUCGUGUUCGCUUUGCGAUGCCGCCGACUCGUUACCAGAUCGUUCUCGCAUCUCCUUCUCAUCUCGCCACGCAUGCGCUUCUGCCGACCAUCUCUCCAUGCUUAUACUAUAUACCGCGUGGAAAUGGCGAGAGAUUGGCGGAUUUUAGCAGUGUUCAUGGUUGACUGGAUCUUGUCGAGGAUACGCGGAUGAUUAUUCGUCGAGAAAAAUAUCGGGUUAAUUCGCGAACGUAUG